CCCCUCAAAAAAAUUUUUUUUUCCUGUUUUCUACUUAUUUUCUAUUAAUUCGUUUGUUCAUCAUUUGUUCUUGAUUGUUCACUGUUAAUAAUUGUUUGUUCCCCAUUUAUUUAUUUAAAAAAAAAUAUUAAAAAUAUAUCUAAAAGUUAGCCCCUCGAUUGCAAUUUAUAAUAUUUUUUCGUCCUUAAUUACUCGUAAAUAUUCAUUUUCGAUUGUUCUUAUAUAAAAUACGUUUGUUCUCUUUCGAAAUUACUCAUUUUUUGUUUAAUUAAUUGUAUUAGUUGAAUAAAUGUAUACAAAAUAUGUGUACUGCGCAUGCCAUAAGUGUAUAAUCUAUGGCGCAUGCGUCAACUAUAAUGCCUAAACUUUCUACGCGGUUUUAAUCGUGAAAAAAAAACAAUUAUAAAUCCUGAAGGAUCAAUUAAUUGGUAUACAGUUUAAUUAAAAAAAUUAAAAAAUAAAUAAAUAAAAUAAUGUGCAUUCGCGUAAAGUUAGACCAAAUACAUUUUUUCCAUCCUCCUAUAUACUUAUCGCUAUGAAGGUAUAAAAAAGAUAGGUUAAGAGUUCACAUAGGUAAUAUAAACAAAUAAGUAAAUAUGUUCAUUAUUUAUCUUUCAAGAGAUAAUGUAGGUAUACAUUAUAAUAACAUUUUGACACAGUCGAAAUUAUAUUCCUAACAUUAGUAAAAUAACAUUUUAAUAUUUUUUUUAUAGGUUAUGUAUUGAAAUUGUUGGAAAAUUAUUUCAUGUUUUAGCUGGAAAACGACAUGGAGAAUUAUAUGCAAUACAAGAUAAUGAGCUCCAUCAAAUGAAUUCGAAUGAAACCAAACUGUUUACCAUCCAAAUUCGAUUGUCGGGCAGAUAGAAAACGAAAAUUCACUCAUAGUGAACCUCGGCCUGCAUUUGUGAAACGGCAAAGACUCACUAUUAUCAAGGAAAUUGAAGAGACGACUAAAAAUGAGAUGUGUCGUAUUAUUAUACCUUUGCCAUCUUGUAGUCAAGAUGUCCAGCCACUUGAAAAUAGGUGUAGUAAUGACAAAGCUAUCCAAGUAGCUCCAGCACAGGAACACAAAGGCAAGGCAAGUGUGUAUUGCCACAUCACCCCUUAAUAUAUCUGAAGCAAGUAUAAGUAAACAAUCAGAACCAGCAAAAAAAAAACUGUUGUUCCUGAGGAUAAUACUUUCGAAUAACAUAAACACGUGACUUUAAGCAUAAACAUAUUUUUUAGGUAAAUACUUUAUUUAGCUUUUCUUGAUUUAUCCAAGAUUUCGACAUACCAAAAUUUCAUACAGGAACGACAGAUAGAUAGCUAUCUGAUUGAAUACCCUUGUAGAAUUGAGCUUCGAAGAAAAGUUUAUUCUUAUUCUUUUUUUUUUUUUUUUUUAUUGCCUUUGUAAGCAGACGGGCAUACGGCCCACCUGAUGGUGAGUGGUUACCGUCGCCCAUGGACUUCAGCAAUGCCAGGGGCAGAGCCAAGCCGCUGCCUACCGCUUAAUACUCUCCACAAGCCUCGUUUGAAGAAGGACAUGUCAUAGCGCUCGGGAAACACCGAGGAGGGGAGCUCAUUCCAUAGCCGGAUGGUACGUGGCAAAAAAGAUCUCUGGAAACGCACUGUGGAUGACCGCAGCGGCUCCAGGUAGUAUGGAUGAACUCUACUCCGGUGGCGGGCGGUGCGAUGGUAAAAACGAGAUGCUGGUAUCAUCUCGAACAAUUCCUCAGAGCACUCCCCAUGGAACAUACGGUAUAAAAUACAGAGGGAACCGAAGUCCCUCCGCAGACCCAGAGGCUCCAAACGAUCCGAGAGAAUGGGAUUAUCGACAAUCCGAACGGCCCUCCUCUGUAUGGAGUCAAAUGGAAGAAGCUGGUAUUUGGGAGCCCCGGCCCAGAGAUGGGAGCAGUACUCCAUGCGAGGCCGGACUUGUGCUUUAUAAAGCAAAAGUCUUUGUCCAGGCGUGAAGUACCGCUUCGCUCUGUUGAGGACUCCCAGCAUUUUGGACGCCAACUUGGCUUUGCCUUCCAAAUGACUCCGAAACUGGACAUCGCUCGAAACGUCGACCCCAAGUAUCCCGAUACUCUCGGAAGGUUGCAGGGAUACUCCUUGGAAUUGCGGCGCCAUGACAAAGGGGUCCUUCUUCGCAGUGAACGCGCAAACUUGUGUCUUUAUCGGGUUGAAUUGAACCAUGUUCAAUUCACCCCAUUCGGAGACUCGCCCCAGAGAGUUCUCCACUUCAGACACAAGUUUUGAUCGUCUCUCUUGCACCACGCUCCGAGAGAGACUCUGAUGGCCGAUAUAUCGCGCAUCCCUCGUGCUAUCAUCUGCAUAGCAAUGCAUGCCAUCAAUAGACAGCAUGUCAUUGAUAUACAGGAUGAAAAGCGUGGGGGAGAGCACCGAACCUUGUGGAACGCCAGCGUUAAUGGUCAUGGUAUCAGAACAGUCACCGUCUACAACGACCGUGAUGCUCCGCCCAUCCAAAAAGCUAGCGAUCCACUUGCAGAGACCCUCGGGGAUUCCGUAAGAUGGUAACUUCGAUAGAAGUGCCCUAUGCCAGACCCUGUCGAAGGCCUUCGCGAUAUCAAGGCUCACAGCAAGAGCCUCGCCCUUGCUCUCCAAGGUUUCAGCCCACCUGUGAGUAAGGUAUACAAGAAGAUCGCCAGCUGAGCGACCGUGACGGAAACCGUACUGUCGGUCACUGAUCAGCUGGCGAUCUUCAAGAUACUUCAGGAGUUGUGUGUUUAUAAUUCGCUCCAUCACCUUGGAAAGCAAGGAAGUUAUCGCGAUAGGCCUGUAGCUCGAUGGAUCCGACCGGUCACCCUUCUUGGGGAUAGGGUGGACGUGGGCGGUCUUCCAUGAAGACGGAACUCUGUUAGUGCAAUAAGAGAGGCGAUACAAACGCGUUAGCGCAGGUGUCAGCUCAGGGGCGCACGUUUUCAAAACCACUGCGGGGAUGCCGUCUGGCCCACUCGACUUAUGGACGUCCAGGAGUCGGAGCUCCCGCCUGACUGCACACUGUGUGAAGCAGAUAUCCGGCAGGGAGCUAUCACACCGGGGGAUGUUCGGUGGUGUGGCACCCCCGUCGUCCACAGUCGAGUUCGAGGCGAAGAGAUUGACCAGAAGGUCAGCCUUCUCUUUCGCGCUGUGGGCCAGAUUGUCAUCGGACUUGCGCAGUGGUGGGAGACUAGACCUGCAAAAGUUUCCUUCUGCAGCUUUGGCGAGCGACCAAAAAGCACGGCUCCCGGAGGGAUAGCUCUUCAAUCGCUCGCCAACUCUAGCAACGUGCUCCGACUUCGCCUUGGCAAUUACCUUCUUGUAGGACCUGGAAGCGGCGUUAUAUUUCCGCCUUUCCCCUGAGAUGUUAGGAUCCCGACGUCUCCUGGCAUUAUCCCAUGCCACGUAUGCGGACCGCUUGAGGCGUGCAGCAUCCCUGCUGGCAUUGUUAUACCAGGGUCUGCUGCGACCCCCAACGGGCACUUCAGAAGAGGGAAUAAACAAUUCCAUCCCCUGGAGCACCACGUCUUUAAGACGGUCCGCACAGACGUCAGGAUCAGCAGAGGAAAAGCAGAACCGCCCCCAUGGGUAGGAUGCGUAAAAUUCACGCAGUCCAUCCCAAUCUGCUGACAUAUACCGCCAAACUCUUCGAUACCCGGUCGUCGUUCGACGAUCAGGACGAGAGAGUGGUACGGCAGCACGAAUAAGGCAGUGAUCAGACGAUCCAAGCGGAGCGUCGACCACCACACUGUAUCCGGCCGGAUCUGUGGUCAGCAGAAGGUCCAACAAAGAAGGCUCGUGCCCCUCGAUAUCUGGGACACGGGUGGGCUGUGUCACCAGCUGGGAGAAGCCGUAGGCCAAGGCGAAAUCGUAGGCAGUCCGACCCGGGAGGUCAGUGGUUCUGGACCCCAACCACUCUUGGUGGUGAGCGUUAAAGUCUCCAAGAACCACCACCUCCGCAGAUGGGUACUGCUCAAGCACGCGGCUAGUCCCCUCUUGCACAUGCUCAAACAGAGCUGAACCUGCAUCACUGCUGUGGGACCUGUACAGGCACGCGUAGAUUCGGCUAUUCUUUAUUAGACUUUAUUCUAGUUGCAGUGUCGGUUAGAGAAGCUGUGCAAGCUUCUCUAACCGAUACUGCAUGGAAUAAAUAGUCAUUAUAAUUAUAAAAUAUAUUUCUGUUUACAUACCAUACAAUUUUCAUAGUUCAAAUAUGAAUUUGGAUUGAUAUGAAUUUAUUUCGAUUAUCAAAAUAAUUUGUAUUAAACAUUUAUAUUUCCUCAAAAUUUCUAUAUUUAUAAUAAUGACUGUGACCACCCCAUAAAUCACAAAAUUAAAAAUAUUAAAGAUAACUUAUUUUUAAAUCAUAUAUUAAAAAUGAUAAACAGAUCGCGAAUUAAAAUAUUAUAUUAUGCCUAUCAUUCGUAAAUAAUUCAGUAAUGAAUUUUCGCAUCGCCGCGCCGUAUAUAAUUAAUAUGAAUAAUAGGGUAUUGCCCACUGUGCUAAAAAAAACAUAAAUUAUGUUUUUUUGAUAGAUCUACAAACAAGCAAGUGAGUAAUGCUAUGUUUCCAUAAAUAAAACGGCAAAAAAAAUUAAAGAAAGAUAUUAUGCACAAGUUCAAAUGCAUAUGUAUUGUGCUAAAAGUAAAACUUGCUACUUUUGUGUAGCAUCCAGCAACUUUGAAAAAAAUAAUCAGGUCACUAUAAUUAGUAGGUAUUGAUUUUGAUUCCGAGUAAGUUGCACAGUUGUUAGAUAAUGUAGUUUCUUUUUGGAAGAAUAACAAUUUUCUAAUCUUACACAAAAAUGUAAUGUUAAAUAUUUGAAAAAAACUUUAUACCUAUUUUCCUUUUAGGGAGUACAAAAUAUUGAUGUGUACAAAGUGAAUGUGAUUUAAUAAAAAUAAUAUUUCAAUUUAAA